CGUGACCAUCUAGUCAUCCACCCUCCACGUGCAAUUGGAACCCUAAUCCAUCACCUGCUACGAUAAGUUCAACUUCAUCGCUUAUCCAUUUUUGAGAAAAUUUGGAUAAUAUGCAAUAUCCACUGUUCAUCAACAUCGGUUGAAGCUCGUCUUGGUUUGACCUGUGCAAAGUGUUGCAGCUGCUCAAACUUCAAAACUGCUUUAAGACCACCCGUAGGGGGGGGUUAGCAUUUUUCUCAAAAAACGGCCAAACAGGCCUUGGGACCGCCCCCGGGAGCAUUUUUCUUGAAAAAAUGGGGUGUGCCAAGUUACUUUGGUAGCUGCUGUUUUUAAUUUCAAGGUUUGUGAUGUGACUAAGUGAUGCAGAUGUGAUUUGUUUUGUCCUGAGGGUUCGAACCUUAGUAACAUCGCCACGAGAAUACUGUAUUGGUAACAAGAUCAUUUGGUACAUGUCCAUUAUUAUCACUCUUUGCGUAUUGUUUUAUGAAAGCCUAACAAUUUUUAUUAGCAACAAAAACCCUGGGUAGCUGGGAUCACCCAGCACACCUGCCUAGAGGAAACCCACAAUCUCCAAAAACUACAACAGUACAACUACAAACAUCUAGUUGGUUUUGCUACUGUUUCAUUGAUGGUCAAGAGAGUCGAAGCCAUGUGAGAGUUCGAACCCACCACCAGCCAACUGUUGAAACUCCCGCUCGCUAUUGUCCCUUUUGUGCCUGAAGAUGUUGUUGUCUUUGUUGUUGGUGCCCUCUCCGGUGCUACUGCCAAAAUAAUUAUUGCCCAUCUUGACCGGAUUAAACUCACCUUGCAGGGAUUAUGCUUUUGCAAUGUUAUAAGAGGUUGGUUGUUGUUAUGGCUGGUGAGUUAAAUAUGUUGGGGGAGGAGUAUGAUUAUUGGCAUGAAGUUGCUGCUUAGAAUGAAUAUUUAAGCAUGGGUUCGGUUUGGCUUGGUUUGGUUUUAGUUUCCAACGGUUCAGUUUCGGAAUCAAACCGUAAACACCCCUAGUGGGUAUGGUUAGUUGUAUUGGUUGGAUGUGCUAAAAGGUUGCUGAUUGGGGCUGCUAUGGGGGAAUAGAGGUCAAGACUACUAGGAAGUUUGAAGAGAAGAUUUAUCUCUUAUAAGUUCGGUUAAUUUUUUUUAUUAUUGUUUGUUUCUCUGUUUGGGUGCUUUUAAGAGGUUAAUGAUUCCAGUUCUACCCCUCUUGUAAGGUAAAAAGAAUGUAGCAUAUCGUCCAAUUUUUUAUGAAUGGGCCGUUUGGGUUGUAUUCUUUUCUAACGGGUCAUAUGUAUUCUUUGUGUAGCGUGUAUUAUUUUAUUUUAUUAUAAACAAAAAUCAAACACGUGUAUUAUUUUUUUUAUUAUUAUUCAUGUUGAUU
rnacentral:lncRNA from 1 species